rnacentral:lncRNA from 10 species
ACACCAUUUCCUGCAAAAAUUGAUUGGCUAUGGUUCAUCACCUCCUCUGGGUGAUCUGCUAUCUUCCUUCUCUUAUGACUCAGGUUAUUGACAGCUGGGAAAAGGCACACACCUCUGACUGAUGGUGACCCAAAAAGAAAUCAUAGAGAAGCAAAUUUGGCUCCACUGGUUUGAUUUUUCCUUCCUUCCUCCUUACACAUCCAAGGAGGUUUUGCUCUGGAAAUCUCUUGCUAUGGAAUGCCUAACAAACCUGAACCAGGAAACCCUUUACCAACAGGAAGUGACCCAGUCUUUCUGCAUGGCAGGUGGCCACGCUGCCACCUGCUCCCUUCCUGUUAGUCAUGACUCCAAGGGUCUUGACAGAGGGUAGUGACAGGCAACUGGAGAUCUGGAAAGAAAAUCUCUCUUCAAAGACCUGAUGUCUCACUGUGUUGCCCAGGCUAUUCUCGAACUCCUGGGCUGAAGAGAUCCUCCUGCCUCGGCCUCCCAAAGUCUUGGGAUUACAGGUAUGAAUAAACAUGGCUGGACUAUUCUUUUUAUGUUGAAAUAACUUCAAACUUACUACCAAGUUGCACGAAUAGUACGAAUACCUCCCAUAUACCCUUUACUACAUUCACAAAUUAACAUCUUGUCAUAUUCACUUUAUAAUUUUCUACAUAACCACCAUACUAUAAUAAUGAAAAUGAGGAAAUUAAACAUUUAUAAAAUGCUGUUAUCUAACCCACAGUCCAUAUUUAAAUUUUACCAAUUUUAAAUUUUACCAAUUGUCAGAGUAAUGUCCUUAAUAGCAAUAGUUUUCCCUCCGGUCCAGUAUCCAAUUCAAAAUAGUAUCUUGCAUUGUGUGGUUAUAUGUCCUCAGUCUCCUUCAACCUAGCAUGUUUCCUCAGUCUUUCCUUACUUUUGUUAUCUUGAUGCAAGUGAAGAUUGCAGGCAUCUUUGGCAAGAAUAAAAUAGAAACAACUAUAUUGGUUUUCUGUAUUGCGGUCAAUCAAUUUUCACAUAGCAGCUAAAAGCAACACAUAAUUAUUAUCUCACAGUUCCUGUGGAUCAAGACUGGGCAGUUUAGCUGGGUAUUCUAUGAGGCUAUAAUCAAGAUUUUUAAGAAAUCAAAACAUUAUAAUAUACAGAAAAUAAAAAAUAUAAAUAAUACAUCCAGAAAGUAAGGAAGUGGCCAAAGAAUAAUGUCCUGUGAAAAGGACACAGGAGCCAGCUUUAAAGGGCUUUCACAGGCCAAAUCUGGGACAAUUUGAGCACUAGUAAUGGAUUAUAAUUCAUUGAACAAAAUAGGACUUCAUGAGUUCAUAGAGAUAUUAACUAAAAGUUUGAUGAAAAAGCAAUAUUGACAUUGUCUGAAUGCAUCUCCCCACAAAAUACUAUUUACAAAGGGGGAAAAGAGUAAGUGCACUGGAGAAGCCUGGUGGACACCACCUUCAUCAAGUGAUUCAAGUAAACAUCGCUUGUAGUAGACUAAGGGGUAUGGUAAACCACCUCAUAGGAUGCAAUGAGAACACAGCAUCACCAUGGCCAACUUUAUCAUGUCCCCGCCAAAUCCCUGACUCCUAGUAUUCACAUCCUCAUAUAAUCCCCUCCUCUUGAGUGUGGGUGGGACCUGUGACUUGCUUCUAAUCAAUAAGAUAAGGCAAAGGUGAUGGGAUGUCACUCCUGUGAUUGUGUUACAUUAUGUAAGGAUCUGUCUUGCUGGUAGACUCACUCUAGAGUCUUGCUCUCCUGCUGACUUCGAAAAAUCAUGAGUCCUACAAAUACUAGGAAAUAAAUUCUGCCAACAACCUGAGUAAGCUUCAAAGUGAAUCCUUUCCCAGUAGAGCUGGGGACAGAGACCAACACCCCUCUCAGCCAGGAGCAUGUCUCUAAUAUGUAAACUAACCAGACCAGAUCCUUAUCUCUUCUAUUUGGCUAUACACACAAGAGGUAACCCUUCUCUGCUUUAGUCAUUCCAAGGCCAGGUACCAGGCAACUAGGGGACACCUCUAUGGCUUAGAGCCUAUGGAAAGUAUUCAAACCUAAACAGUUCAUCUUGCCCUGCUUUUCACAUGACCAUGGGCCUGGAUCUCCUCUCACUCCUGCCCCUCUGCCUCCUGGCCACCCCAGAGCUUUCCCCCAAGGCCCUUUGUGGUGUCCUGUGCCUCUUGUCUUUAGGAUCUGUGAGUACAGUAAACUGUGUUUUCCUGAGCCUCCUUAUAUGUCCUCUUGUGACCUCACCUGAAUGAUCAUCUCAUGAAAGAACACAGAACACCAGCACAAAAUAUUCCAUAAUCAUCUCAUAUUGUUGUUUCAGCCCUGAUAUCAGCCACCACUUCUCCGAAGUCCAAAGUGCCUUCAUUCCUUUCAUUGGAGAACCAUAUUUAGAAACCAAUAUCUAGGCACUACGUGUAUUUUACCUAUAAUGGUAUUAACACUCGUGGUAAUACUUGUUCUCUUCAGACCAGUUCCUCCAGGUUGGAGGCAACACCGUACAGUGAUUAAGAGGCUCUGGAUCUAGACUGCCUGAAUUAAAAUUCUGGCCACGCUGGACAAUCUGUGAAGCCUUGGGAAAGGCACUUAAGCUCUUACAGUUUUAUACCCUGUGUGAUAGUGUUUACGAUAGCACCUACCUCAGAAGGUUGCUGUGGAACGUAGUAAGAUAUGAGUGUGACGCUCUUAGACUCAUGCCUGACAUUCAGGGAUUACUCAGUAAAUAUUUGUUGGGUGAAUGAUCCUUAUGUUGAUCAGAAGCUCUAACUGAAGAAUGAAAAUGAGGGGGAAAUCUUGCUCCACGUCCUUUUCAGACAAUAAUUAACGUAUUGAUUUGUCAGAGAUCUCAUCCUCCUGUGAGACUAUCUUCCUUUAAGACUUUAAGAAUUCCCUGUAAUAAUCUUUUUAGUUGUCUUUAAUGUAUUGACAACCUAGAAGAAAUCCCUGUAAAAUGUCACAUAUGUGAUCUAGAAGGAAAAAAAAUGCUUUCCACUUACACUUGUUUAUGUUCUUCCUUCUUCUUCAUUAAAAAAAUAGAAAAGAACUCACACAAGCCUGGUGCCAAACCUGGAUGUGUCUCUGUGUCCAGGACUCUGAUUCCUAAAAACAUCGAGUCAUUAUAGAAGACAUCAGGACCACUGAGAAGACAGUCAGGAAAUCAGAGGGGGAGAAGGUCAAGAAGGACGAGGCCCUGCAAUCCUUUUUAUUCCCCUGGUGUCCUCAGGAUGGUGAAUAAGAACUCUAGGAACCUGCACCUGCAAAAGAAGAUCCAGGGCAAUGUAGAGAUUCCACAUCCUGAGCUUUCUUUGAUGUCUUCUUGCCAGCUAUCCCCAAUUCCUGAUUUAGUUCCUCUUAGGGACAGCUAUUCUGAAGGGUCUCAUCAGAGAAGCUUAUUUGGUUUCUAUUGGACAAGGAAUACAUGCAUUAUAAACAUUCCAGAUAAUGUUUAUGUUUCAAAUUGGUUUUUCAGUUCCUUUGCAAUUCUUGCUCAAGUUUUCCUCACCUUCUAAGUCUGAAAAAGUAAUUUCCAAAUCAUGGUGAAGGCAUUAUUGAAAAAUCAGGACCUUGUAGAAUCUUACAGUCAUUUGGCCAGGCUAACGGUUUAACCUGAAAGUGGAAUGGAUUUCCCAUCCGGGUUCCCAUAGUGAACAACUAUGUUUUUGUAACAUAACACAAUGAAGGGAGUUGUCACUAGAUGACUCAGCUAGUUAGAAUCUCAACUCC